CAAUUGCAUUGAAAUAUGAUUUCCUUUGUCCCAGAGGGGAAAUUUGUCUUGGACAAUAAAUGUUGUGUAAUCAUCCUUAUAUGAUCGCUUAUGAAAUAAAGGCGGGGGCACAUUCCAGGAAGGUUAAAGCACAUUACCGAAAUUAUUCCUUGUAAGAACAUAGUUUAUGACAUCACUCUGAGUGGGUGUGGUCUCUUCAAUGCCUGUUUCAGUACAAUGCAUCUCUGGUCUCUUGUACACUGUGCUAUAUGUCAUCAAGUUUUCUUCCUAGAAAUGUUCCUCUGCACAUUACUGUAAAACUGCAGAUGCAGAGAGCUCAAGUUCAAAACCUUAAAACAUGUUGUCAGUGACAGAUAUAGCCUGAGAAAUGUCUCACUUUGGAACACAGAUUUCUCUCUAAAACUCUGAUACACAUCUGCUUUUUAAAUCCUAACCAUUAACCAAUCAAAAUACACCAUAAACAUUCAAACAGUUCAACCCCAUGAAGCCCAGAGGUUGAGGUGACAGAGGCCUACUGGAACUUUGAAAAGCUGAAACACAAUUAGAGUAUCAAAACAAUAAAAACAACUUACUCAGUGUAUUUUUCAAAUACAUCUAAUUUGUUUGUUCACGUCAAAAAUGUCUCUGGGGAGGGCUUCUCACUCAGAAUUUUAAUUGGAAUGUCCGUACUGAGUGCAGAAGAGCGCCACAAGUCGGCCAUUAUGGUAGGGCACGGGACCAUAACAGGAAGUGACUGGGACGUCACAACGUCACCGGUCGACCAUAUUAUGUGUGUAAAACAACAAACACAGCGGCCAUCUUUAGUCCUUUGGUAACAAAGGGGCCAAGGCUGUACUGCCUGAGUAAAUACUGAAGAUGCAUGUAACCAUACCAAAGAGCGAAAUAUACAGAAUGUGUAUCAUGACUUGUACACAUGCAUAUACCAACAAGUACCAACAUAUUAUAGUGGAACAAGACAUGUAAAAGAAUGUAGUCACAUAGUAGCAUGGAGCUAAUAACAUGUUCAGAUUAAACAUACACCAAAUUAACCAUAACUGGCUAUAAGUCCACUUACAUGGUUAGAGACACAGUCAACACCAGCUAGGGAGUGUCCAGAGAAAGGCUUGACCAUGUUAGAAAGGCUUGUCCAUGUUAGAAAGGCUUGACCAUGUUAGAAAGGCUUGUCCAUGUUAGAAAGGCUUGUCCAUGUUAGAAAGGAUAGUUCAUGUUAGAAAGGCUUGACCAUGUUAGAAAGGCUUGACCAUGUUAGAAAGGCUUGUCCAUGUUAGAAAGGCUUGACCAUGUUAGAAAGGCUUGUCCAUGUUAGAAAGGCUUGACCAUGUUAGAAAGGCUUGACCAUGUUAGAAAGGCUUGUCCAUGUUAGAAAGGCUUGUCCAUGUUAGAAAGGCUUGUCCAUGUUAGAAAGGCUUGACCAUGUUAGAAAGGCUUGUCCAUGUUAGAAAGGCUUGACCAUGUUAGAAAGGCUUGUCCAUGUUAGAAAGGCUUGACCAUGUUAGAAAGGCUUGUCCAUGUUAGAAAGGCUUGUCCAUGUUAGAAAGGCUUGACCAUGUUAGAAAGGCUUGACCAUGUUAGAAAGGUCUAUUGUGAGUUGAGGUGGUGCAGAGUUCUUCUGAGCUGUUGUCUCUCUGUCUACACCUCUGGAACCAACUGAAGUAGCUUUCAGACAAAACACACACGCACACGUUCAGAGA
rnacentral:lncRNA from 1 species